rnacentral:rRNA from 1 species
ACUCCUGCGGGAGGCAGCAGUGGGGAAUAUUGCACAAUGGGCGCAAGCCUGAUGCAGCCAUGCCGCGUGUAUGAAGAAGGCCUUCGGGUUGUAAAGUACUUUCAGCGGGGAGGAAGGCGAUAAGGUUAAUAACCUUGUCGAUUGACGUUACCCGCAGAAGAAGCACCGGCUAACUCCGUGCCAGCAGCCGCGGUAAUACGGAGGGUGCAAGCGUUAAUCGGAAUUACUGGGCGUAAAGCGCACGCAGGCGGUCUGUCAAGUCGGAUGUGAAAUCCCCGGGCUCAACCUGGGAACUGCAUUCGAAACUGGCAGGCUAGAGUCUUGUAGAGGGGGGUAGAAUUCCAGGUGUAGCGGUGAAAUGCGUAGAGAUCUGGAGGAAUACCGGUGGCGAAGGCGGCCCCCUGGACAAAGACUGACGCUCAGGUGCGAAAGCGUGGGGAGCAAACAGGAUUAGAUACCCGGGUAGUCCCAUG